ensembl:lncRNA
GGUGGCAGUCAUUGAAGGUACCUGCUGCCAACUGAGCAGAUAGCCCAGGACAGAGAGCAGUGCUCUAUCAACUCUCGCGAUGCCAUUUCUCCAUUGCUUCAGUGUCACUUUGGACACCUCGCCUUUGACUUCCAGGUUCAGCCUGAUGAGUAAAACAGAAGUGUGUUGGCUUAAGAAGCGUCUGUGCUCAUCAGAAGCUGGGGUUUGUCUCCUGAGAUGCUGACACCAAGGUGGCAUUAAAUGAGGGAAGAUUUUGUGAGGGAAUCUGCCCACGAGGAAACAUCGGGAAAGGGAAGAGGACGCAGGGAAAGCCAUGAAGCUGCCAAGUGAGUCAGCCCCCAGGUGAAGAGGAGAGGGAGAUGGACAGAUGCCAGGAGGACACUGGCUCUGAAGGUUGCCAAAGUAUUGGAGCUUCAGCUUCAACAUCAGUCCUUCCAAUGAAUAUUCAGACGAGGCUCAGCUACAAAAAACCAGAGAGUGGGUCACUAGGUAAUGAGACCUCCAGAAGAGCUGAAAAACAGAACCACAUGCCUGGGCGAUCUGCAUCCGUAUCCUUUGGCUCAGAACGUCCAACCCCACGUCUGUCUAAAAAACGACAUCAGGCCAGAGGAAUGCGAAAGCUGUCUGCCCCACGAAUUGUACCUCUUUACCCGUCUGUAAUAAAGCCAACCUCGCAUCCAUUUCAACUUGGCCAGGCUUUCCAUCAGGAGAAUUUACCAAGGGGCAAUUUACCAACCAGCUGCAGUAAAGGAAGCAGAGGCCUGAGCAUCUCUCCAGCACAGGCUGUCAGAGGAGCAGAGGAGACAACCUGCAGGAGGCAUUUCCUGCCCGAAGCACCUGCAGACUCUUGUGUUCAGAGUCAGCCCCAGGUUGACCCCUGAAACUCCAUCUCAUUGAGUGCAUCUCCUGGCAGGAGACUUUGGGAAAUCCCACCAAAGUCAUGGGCAUCUGCCUUCUGAGAACGUAGGCCUGUGGGCCUGGGAAGGCCGAGGGCCUUGGGGAGAUAUCCUUUCAGACGCAUUUCCCUAUUUUUUUUUAGUGUAUAACAAGGGUCCCCAACUCCGGGAUCUAAGGCCUGAUGAUCUGAGGUGGAGCUGAUGUAAUAAUAACAGAAAUAAAGUGCACAAUAACGGUAAUGUGCUUGAAUCA